UACAGAGGGUGCGAGCGUUGUCCGGAAUCACUGGGCGUAAAGGGCGCGUAGGCGGCUUGAUAAGCGUGCGGUGAAAGCCCGGGGCUCAACCCCGGGUCGGCCGUGCGAACUGUCGAGCUGGAGCACUGUAGAGGCAGGUGGAAUUCCGGGUGUAGCGGUGGAAUGCGUAGAGACCCGGAAGAACACCGGUGGCGAAGGCGGCCUGCUGGGCAGUGGCUGACGCUGAGGCGCGACAGCGUGGGGAGCAAACAGG
rnacentral:rRNA from 1 species